rnacentral:piRNA from 1 species
UGAAGCCUUGGAGGUGAAUGUCUGGC